UCACCGGGUAGUUAUUACGC
rnacentral:miRNA from 1 species